AAUGUUUUAUGGGAAUGAUUUUAAUGUUUCCCUGUCAAGUGUAACUGGUUCUACAUUGACACAUAAUUCAUUAUUAAGGAGGUAUCCUUCUCUUUCCUUUUUUAAAAGAUUUUUUAAAAUUA